rnacentral:rRNA from 1 species
GAAGGGAGCUAGCGUUGUUCGGAAUCACUGGGCGUAAAGCGCACGUAGGCGGAUUUGUUAGUCAGGGGUGAAAUCCCGGGGCUCAACCUCGGAACUGCCUUUGAUACUGCAAGUCUGGAGUCCGGAAGAGGUGGGUGGAAUUCCUAGAGUAGAGGUGAAAUUCGUAGAUAUUAGGAAGAACACCGGUGGCGAAGGCGGCCCACUGGUCCGGUACUGACGCUGAGGUGCGAAAGCGUGGGGAGCAAGCAGGAUUAGAUACCCUGGUAGUCCACGCCAUAAACGAUGGAUGCUAGCUGUCGGCAAGCUUGCUUGUCGGUGGCGCAGCUAACGCAUUAAGCAUCCCCGCCUGGGAGUACGGCCGCAAGGUUAA